UUGGGCAAAAUACCUGCUGUGGCAGCCCUGUGCCUUGACUGCCUCCAGGAGAAAGUUUCUUGGGAAUGGUUGCUGAAACAAGAAGUGUGUCCAGCCUCCAGGGCUUGCCAGCAGCUAUUGACUGAUACGAGCACACUGUCCUCGGUGGCAGGAGGGAGCAACUUGCUUUAUCUAUGCAUUCCCUGGCAAGCAGCAGCAGUGGAGAAAGAGACAUGUCUCACUGGCCAGUGUCCAGUCCCUGGCAAGCCAAAUCAUUCUACAAGCUCUGAAACUGAAGAUAAAAAAUCAGCAAUGGAACAUUGCUGCUUGAGUCAGAGGUGUGAAGGAAUCAGCUCUCCACUCCAUGAUCCAUCCUCCAGCUCACAGCUGGUACAAAUGGGUGUGACUCAUUGCACAGCCAGAGGUUAUAAUGAAGUAUCCCACUCAUCCUUUAGCUCACCCUUUGUUCGAGACAAUGUGGAUUGCGGAAGGUUUCUGAGGAGCCAAAAGUUGGUGAAGGCUCCUGAGUGUCCCCGUUUGCCAUGCAGAGGUUCAGAGUUAGCAAUGCAGGCUGGCUGCCUACGUGCUCUCAGCUAGAGACUUUUAAAGAGCAGCAGCAGGAGUAAAACUGUGUGUUUCAGAAGCAUGCACUUUGAGAUGGACUUUACUCCAGAAGUUCAGAAGCCCAGACUUGGCACCCUCUGAUUUCUCCAGAAGAAGGCUGAGAGCUAGAUAUGGAUCAAUUCUUAUGCUGAACCUCCAAAUUCACAGCAAACCCAGAAGCUUUGAGAAGCUGUCAGUGACACGACCCCAGUUCUCUCUGCCCAUGUCUGAGGUGCCUCUUCUGGGAUGGGAGCAACUGAGUCUCACCAAUCUGUCAGCAACCAGGAGGAAGCCAGGAAACAAAUAAACAAUAAAAGUUGGUGCUGCA
rnacentral:lncRNA from 1 species